UACAGAGGUCUCAAGCGUUGUUCGGAUUCAUUGGGCGUAAAGGGUGCGUAGGCGGCGCGGUAAGUCGGGUGUGAAAUCUCGGAGCUUAACUCCGAAACUGCAUUCGAUACUGCGGUGCUUGAGGACUGGAGAGGAGACUGGAAUUUACGGUGUAGCAGUGAAAUGCGUAGAGAUCGUAAGGAAGACCAGUGGCGAAGGCGGGUCUCUGGAAAGUUCCUGACACUGAGGCACGAAGGCCAGGGGAGCAAACGGG
rnacentral:rRNA from 1 species